CCUACGGGUGGCUGCAGGCGCGAAAACUUUACAAUGCGGGCAACCGUGAUAAGGGAACCUCGAGUGCCUGUACAUGCAGGCUGUCUGGGUGUCUAAAACACACCCAAAGAAAGGGCCGGGCAAGACCGGUGCCAGCCGCCGCGGUAAUACCGGCGGCUCGAGUGGUGGCCACUUUUAUUGGGCUUAAAGCGUUCGUAGCUGGGUUGUUAAGUCUCUUGGGAAAUCCGGCGGCUGAACCGUCGGGCGUCUAAGAGAUACUGGCAAUCUUGGAACCGGGAGAGGUGAGGGGUACUUCGGGGGUAGGAGUGAAAUCCUGUAAUCCUCGAGGGACCACCUGUGGCGAAGGCGCCUCACCAGAACGGCUUCGACAGUGAGGGACGAAAGCGUGGGGAGCAAACAGGAUUAGAUACCCGGGUAGUC
rnacentral:rRNA from 1 species